rnacentral:lncRNA from 1 species
UUGAACGAUUAUAGGUGCCAGAUAUGCAGUAAAUGCUCUGGCAAUUAUGAAAUGUAAGAUUAAUUUUGCUUCUUAUGGGACCAACUGGCCUCUCAGGGUAUUUUUGAAAAUCAUUCUUCUGGUCCUAAGCAUCUCAUCUGAAGUAUCUUUAGUAUCUAACAACUCUUUCCAGGUGAGUGUAUCUGGGCUCUAAGAGCCACAGGCUUUUUAUUUUUUUUAACAGAAAGACCCACAUUGCCACCUAGUGGUGAGAGGGACAAACUCAUCUGAUGCCCCUUGUUCCUGGCUGCCUCUGCCCCACCUGAGAUGAGUUGGUACCAGUUCCACACCUGGUUAUAGCAAUAUCGAAGCAAGGCAUCUCAAGUGCCUGAAGGAAAUCAGGAAACAAGAAACACAUGUGUAUGGUGACAUGACUCCACAGAACUGUUACCCUGUUGCACAGUGAGUCAUUUAACAUUGGUUGAAGGUUUAUGGGUACACUUUGUCUUCUAAACCUUUUCUUGCCACCAUUCAAGGUGACUGUGCUACUUGAGUCUCUGUCCUAAAUUCUCUGCUCUUUGAAUUGCAUGCUCCAUCAACAAGGGAUCAUGCUUCCAACCAGUCCUAAGCACCUCGCCUGAAGUAUCCUUGGCAGCUAACAACUCUUUCCAGGUGAGUGCUUUAGGUACCAAAGGGUUUUUUUUUUUUUUUUUUUCCCUACAG